AUGAGCCACCGUGCCCAGCCAUCACCAUGCUUUCUAUACAGCCUGCAGAACCAUGAGCCAAUUGAACCUCUUUUCUUCAUAGAUUACCCAGCCCUGAGUAUUCCUUUAUAGUGAUGCAAAAUGGACUAACACACCUCUGAUGUCUUUCCUCUUCCAGGAGAACUUUCCCAAUGAAAGAAAACGAAUGAAACUAUGCCUGCUGUCAUUCCCAACUUCAUACUGGGCCCUGUACUAGUUUUUAGAGACAAGGUCUUACUCUGCCCCCCAGGCUGGACUGCUGAGGUGCCAUUCUAGCUCACUGCGGCCCCAAACUCCUGAGCUCAAGUGAUCCUCCUGCCUCAGCUUCCUGAGUAGCUGGGACUACAGGUGCGUGCUACCAUACCUGGCUAAGUUUUUAAUAUUUUGUAGAGACAGCGUCUUGCUCUGUUGCUCAGGCUGGUCUUGAACCCUGGGCUCAAACGAUCCUCCUGCCUGGGCCUCCCAAAGUGCUGGGAUUAUAGGCGUGAGCCCUUGUGCCCGGCCUGGGGCCCAUCGUGACUUUGCUCCUUACUCAUGGUGGUGCUGGCGUUUUGCGUGGCUGUGCUCAUCUCUCUCAGCAAAGCCAACCGGCCCCGUUCACACCCUAACUUCCCCAAGAAGCCUUCCCAGAUGUCCCCUCUAACCCCACAAUGCCCCCAUUUUCAGCUGUGACUAAUCUGUUACCUCUGAACUCCCACCAGACUGCAGUUGUACCUGGAAGAACUUUAUUUAGUCAUGCCUUCAUUCAUCUAUUCAACAAGUAUUUGUUAAGUGCCUGGUCCAAGUAACUAUUCUAAGCAUAGGGGAUAUAGCAGGGAAUAAAACGCGCCCAG
rnacentral:lncRNA from 1 species